AGUGGGGGAACAACAUUUACUAUAAAUGGUGAAGGUUUUAGUCAUGUUGGCAAGAUUACUGUUGAAAGAGUGAAAAACCCAUGUAAUGUUAAAUUCGAUAUUCAAGCUGUAUGUCAAACACCCGAAAUGAAACGAAAUGAGUCAAAUGUACAAUCUGUUCGUGUAUAUUUUGAUGGAUUAAGUAUAGCAGUUGAUAUUGAAUAUGUUGAUGAUCCACAAUUGAACAAUUUCCAAAGUAUACUUGAAUAUGAUAAGGAAUCACCUAUUCAGAUCACGGGUACCAAUAUCUUACAUGGAGCAAUAUCUGAUGACUACUCCAUCCAUAUUGGAUUGGACGGAAAAUGCAUAAUAACAGAUAUCAACAUGACAUUUAUUAUCUGCUUGCCACCUACGUUCACACCUAGGACAAAUGAUACAGA